rnacentral:rRNA from 1 species
UACGAAGGGGGCUAGCGUUGUUCGGAUUUACUGGGCGUAAAGCGCACGUAGGCGGAUUGGUCAGUUAGGGGUGAAAUCCUGGAGCUCAACUCCAGAACUGCCUUUAAUACUGCCAGUCUCGAGUCCGGAAGAGGUAAGUGGAGCUCCUAGUGUAGAGGUGGAAUUCGUAGAUAUUAGGAAGAACACCAGUGGCGAAGGCGGCUUACUGGUCCGGUACUGACGCUGAGGUGCGAAAGCGUGGGGAGCAAACAGG